rnacentral:rRNA from 1 species
AGUGAACGCUGGCGGUAGGCCUAACACAUGCAAGUCUAACGGCAGCACAGUAAGAGCUUGCUCUUACGGGUGGCGAGUGGCGGACGGGUGAGGAAUACAUCGGAAUCUACUUUUUCGUGGGGGAUAACGUAGGGAAACUUACGCUAAUACCUCAUACGACCUACGGGUGAAAGCAGGGGAUCUUCGGACCUUGCGCGAUUGAAUGAGCCGAUGUCGGAUUAGCUAGUUGGCGGGGUAAAGGCCCACCAAGGCGACGAUCCGUAGCUGGUCUGAGAGGAUGAUCAGCCACACUGGAACUGAGACACGGUCCAGACUCCUACGGGAGGCAGCAGUGGGGAAUAUUGGACAAUGGGCGCAAGCCUGAUCCAGCCAUACCGCGUGGGUGAAGAAGGCCUUCGGGUUGUAAAGCCCUUUUGUUGGGAAAGAAAAGCAGCAGGUUAAUACCCCGCUGUUCUGACGGUACCCAAAGAAUAAGCACCGGCUAACUUCGUG